rnacentral:rRNA from 1 species
UUGACCUCGAAUCAGGUAGGACUACCCGCUGAACUUAAGCAUAUCAAU